rnacentral:rRNA from 1 species
AAUGAACGUUGGCGGCAUGGAUUAGGCAUGCAAGUCGAGCGAGAAGUGUAGCAAUACACGGAAAGCGGCGGAAGGGAGAGUAAUACGUGGGAAUCUGCCCUUAGACCUGGGAUAGCAGCGGGAAACUGCUGGUAAUACCAGAUAAUGUCUAUGGACCAAAGGUGUGAUUCCGUCUAGGGAUGAGCCCACGUCCUAUUAGCUAGUUGGUAGGGUAAUGGCCUACCAAGGCGAUGAUGGGUAGCGGGUGUGAGAGCAUGACCCGCCUCACUGGGACUGAGACACUGCCCAGACACCUACGGGUGGCUGCAGUCGAGAAUCUUCGGCAAUGGGCGCAAGCCUGACCGAGCGAUGCCGCGUGCGGGAUGAAGGCCUUCGGGUUGUAAACCGCUGUCGAGGGGGAGCAACUUCCAUAGAGUUAUCUUUAUGGAUUGAGUGAUCCCUGGAGGAAGGACGGGCUAAGUUCGUGCCAGCAGCCGCGGUAAAAC